rnacentral:rRNA from 1 species
GCCAGAGGUGCCGAGCGUUAGGCGGAAUCACUGGGCUUAAAGCGUGUGUAGGCGGGCGGGCAAGUACCUUGUGAAAUCCCACGGCUCAACCGUGGAACGGCUGGGUAUACUGCCUGUCUUGAGCCAACUAGGGGCGAGCGGAACAGACGGUGGAGCGGUGAAAUGCGUAGAUAUCGUCUGGAACGCCAAAGGUGAAAACAGCUCGCUGGGGUUGUGCUGACGCUGAGACACGAAAGCCAGGGGAGCGAACGGG